GCCGAUGGCGACCGGCGCACGGGUGAGUAACACGUAUCCAACCUGCCGUCUACUCUUGGACAGCCUUCUGAAAGGAAGAUUAAUACCAGAUGGCAUCAUGAGUCCGCAUGGUUCUCAUUAUUAAAGGUAUUCCGGUAGACGAUGGGGAUGCGUUCCAUUAGAUAGUAGGCGGGGUAACGGCCCACCUAGUCUUCGAUGGAUAGGGGUUCUGAGAGGAAGGUCCCCCACAUUGGAACUGAGACACGGUCCAAACUCNUACGGGAGGCAGCAGUGAGGAAUAUUGGUCAAUGGGCGCAGGCCUGAACCAGCCAAGUAGCGUGAAGGAUGACUGCCCUAUGGGUUGUAAACUUCUUUUAUAAAGGAAUAAAGUCGGCUAUGUAUACCCGUUUGCAUGUACUGUAUGAAUAAGGAUCGGCUAACUCCGUGCCAGCAGCCGCGGUAAUACGGAGGAUCCGAGCGUUAUCCGGAUUUAUUGGGUUUAAAGGGAGCGUAGGCGGAUGCUUAAGUCAGUUGCGAAAGUUUGCGGCUCAACCGUAAAAUUGCAGUUGAUACUGGGUGUCUUGAGUACAGUAGAGGCAGGCGGAAUUCGUGGUGUAGCGGUGAAAUGCUUAGAUAUCACGAAGAACUCCGAUUGCGAAGGCAGCUUGCUGGACUGUAACUGACGCUGAUGCUCGA
rnacentral:rRNA from 1 species